AUAUUUUGACAAACGCUGCAUUCAAAGUAAUGUAGAGGAAAGUCCAUGCUUGCACUAUCUGAGAUGAUAGUAGUGAUUGUGCAUGAGGAAAAAAUAACUCAUGGUAGUACUUUGUACUAACGGCUAGGAGGUAACCUAAGUUAUUUAAUAUGGUUAUAGUACUUAUAAAGUGCCACAGAGACGAUUUUCUUCAGAAAUGAAGAAGUGAAACGCGGUAAACCCCACAAGCAAGAAACCCAAAAUUAUGGUAGGGGAACUUGAAGAGAGGAAUCAAACAAUCUUCAGGAUCGAUUAAUCGAUAGAUAAAUGUUUGUCGCCUAGAAAUAGGAACAGAACAUGGCUUAUAAAA
rnacentral:RNase_P_RNA from 1 species